GAUGUUAAAAAUACAUGAUGGAUACUUAAAUAUUGAUGUUUACCUUUUUUAUUUUGAUAUUUUAUGGUGUAGAUUAACCUAAGUUAAUAUAACAAUCAAAACAGUAGGGCAUGGAAUGGCAGAUCAACAUUGUUAAUUUUCGGAUAAACUUUCUGGAUUUUGCCAAGUGAAGAACUCCAAUGAUAUACAUGUAGGGGCAUGUGUCCAAAGCUGAUCCACAUCAUAACAUACUGAUUGGGAAUAAUGACAUAGUACCAAAAGAUGUGCUUAUACUGUAAUUAGCAGAUCUUCACAAAUGAACCUGGCAGAUCCUGGUGCAACCUUACCUUACCAUGUUUACAUCUAACCGUCAGUUUGAGCUGUGUGUGGGUGGUAACACGGACUAUAUACAUGUAUUGCCCAGUAAUUGUCUUGUGAUGGACCUUUUAAACAUAUCAAGUAUUUAAUUGAAGACUUAAGAGGUCAGUUUUCAUCAAAGAAUUGAUAAAUUACAGUUUUUUUUGUAAGGGUGAAUAUGUUAUUAUAAUGGCAUUGAUGUAUAUCUUGUGUCUGUUUUUUAAUCAGCCUUUCAUCCAUAAUUAUGAAUAUUAAGCAUGAUAAAGUAGUUUAAGGGAAUAUUAUGUAGAAAUGUUAUGUUGUUUCUGCACAAGCUUUUGAAUACAAGAAAUUCUAUGUUCACUCAGCACUGUUUACACAUUGUCAAUGAAUUUGCUUGUUUUAGUUUCCAAAUCUGUCUGUCUCUAGCUCCCUGUGAAUAAUGUACUUUUUUACAUUGCAUCCAUUGAUUUUAAAUGGGGUGUAUUAUGCACAUGUCACACUUUUUUUACAAAAACAUCAAGGUCAAAGGUAAAAUAUAUGGGUCAAAAUCAUAACUUUUGCAAUAUUGAAGAUAGCAACUUGAUAUUUGGCAUGCAUGUGUACCUCAUGGAGCUGCACAUUUUGAGUGGUGAAAGGUCAAGGUCAUCCUUCAAGGUCAAAGGUCAAAUAUAUGGGUCAAAAUCGCUCAAAAAGGGACAUUGUGUAUUGUGUUUUACAAACACAUACCUUGUUAUGUUAUGUAAUGGCCUUUCAAUCAUCUUAUUUUUUUUAUGAAAUACGCUGGAUUUGUCUUUUCAUUACAUCCAUGAUAUCAUUAUGUUUUUUUGCCUGUUACAUUUUGCGGCCCAAUGUACGUGUUAAGCAGUUUAACCAUUUACAACGGCAUUUGUGACGAGGCUAACAGUCAUAAGGUUGGUCAUUACAUGCACUGCAUAUCAUAAAAUCGUUUGGCUUUUAUUGACAAAAUUUGCGAAAACGGUGUUUAAGACUAAACAUCACAAGUGUCGCAACUUCGUCCCCACCUGGGAAUUCAGAGCGCAAAUUUCAGAUUAUAAUGUGUCAGAUUUUACACUUGUAUAAUGAAGAAGUCAUCUCUUGACAAGAUGGUGAUGUCCUGAUCUCGUUCCAAGCCACACAUGAUACUUGUUUUGCUUUUAAUCAAAAUCGGUGUUAAAUAGUAAACAUAAAAAGUGUCACAAAUUCGUCCCUUUUGAGAAGUCAGAGCUAAAAUUUCUGAUUUUAAUUUGUCAGAUUUUGCACUUUUAUAAUGAAGAAGUCAUCUCUUGACAAGAUGGUGGUGUCCUUAUCUCGUGCCGAGCCACAAAUGAUUCUUGUUUUGGUUCAAAGCAACAUAUAAACGAAGAUUUGUUUAAUGUACUUUGUUUUAAAUUCUGUUCUUUGAAAAAUGCAUGUACUUUGUUUUAAAUUCUGUUCUUUGAAAAAUGCAUAAUAAGUCAUCAACUAUUAUAAUUUUAUGAAAAUA